AACGAACGCUGGCGGCAGGCCUAACACAUGCAAGUCGAACGAGACCUUCGGGUCUAGUGGCGCACGGGUGCGUAACGCGUGGGAAUCUACCCUUAGGUGCGGAAUAACUCAGAGAAAUUUGAGCUAAUACCGCAUAAUGACUCCGGUCCAAAGAUUUAUCGCCUAAGGAUGAGCCCGCGUAAGAUUAGCUAGUUGGUGAGGUAAAAGCUCACCAAGGCGACGAUCUUUAGCUGGUCUGAGAGGACGAUCAGCCACACUGGGACUGAGACACGGCCCAGACUCCUACGGGAGGCAGCAGUGGGAAUAUUGGACAAUGGGCGCAAGCCUGAUCCAGCCAUGCCGCGUGAGUGAUGAAGGCCUUAGGGUUGUAAAGCUCUUUUACCAGGGAUGAUAAUGACAGUACCUGGAGAAUAAGCUCCGGCUAACUCCGUGCCAGCAGCCGCGGUAAU
rnacentral:rRNA from 1 species